rnacentral:lncRNA from 1 species
GCAAAUUGCGGCAUCCUUUUUGAGGACAGAAUUUUGUUAAAAGCCAUUCAGUGGAAAUGGAUGAACAAUCUCAGCCUUUCAAAAAGUUUAAGAUGCUCGAUCAAAGGGGUCUUUGAGUCAGUAAAAAUCCUUAUCCAUAUGGAGGUGAGGCAGUGUCAUCAUCAACAUCUUUGGCAUAUGUACAAGCGAACAAGGUUGAUGCUCGCCGCAUCUGCUGUGAUCUUUCCCUUAUUUUCUUUUCUUUUUUCCUGUUUUCUCAAAAGCGUGAAAGACAGAGUGGAUUGCUGCUGACACUCUUUCUUCUCCACCACUGCUAUUUUAUUAGGACAGCAGUGCAAAUGCAAAGGAAAUCUUUUUCCAUACCUGGAAAACUUGCGCCAAUGCAAGGGAAAGUGAACCUUACUUAGCCUUGUUUUUCCAUGACUAGAUAGAGCACACCGCGUGCUAGCACCCAAAUAAUGAUGUCCUCCAAUACCGCCCAUCGAAAGUAUUCUCCGUACUAAUAGUGUUUCUGCACUCAUCAAAUAGAAUCAUAUCUCAAUUCCGUAUGUACUGCAAAAAGUCAUUUGCUCAUAUCAAUAUUAGUCUGCAAAAAAUCAUUUGUCC